UGCCAGUAGUCAUAUGCUUGUCUUAAAGAUUAAUCCAUGCAUGUGUAAGUAUAAGUAUUGUACAGCGAAACUGCGAAUGGCUCAUUACAUCAGUUAUAAUUUAUUUGAUAAUCGAAAGUUACAUGGAUAACCGUGACAAAUUACAGCUAAUACAUGCAGUCAGACCUGGUCCAAGGGUCGUAAUUAUUAGUAUUAAACCAUUUCCGAAAGGAGUGUGAUGAAUCAUAAUAAUCGAACGAAUCGCCUGUUGUGCGAUAAAUCAUUCAAGUUUCUGCCCUAUCAGCUUUGGAUGGUAGUGUAUUGGACUACCAUGGCAGUCACGGGUAACGGAGAAUUAGGGUUCGAUUCCGGAGAGGGAGCCUGAGAAACGGCUACCACAUCUACGGAAGGCAGCAGGAGCGAAAAUUGCCCAAUCCCGACACGGGGAGGCAGUGACGAGAAAUAACAACUCUUGGUUAUUCUAAGAAGUGUAAUGAGGAUAAUUUAAAACCCUUACCGAAAGCAAUUGGAGGGCAAGUCUGGU
rnacentral:rRNA from 1 species